rnacentral:lncRNA from 1 species
CUACAUGGAGUCGAGGAAUGUAGAGUGACAGAUGGUGCCCAAAGGGAUCUCAACGGCGAUGAAGGUGACAUGGUAGUUUUACCUAGGUUCAGGUCCAGGGAUGAGUAAUAGCCCUACGUCCUACAUAUAUGUCUUUAUUGUUGAGAGGAUUACAAUGGUCAUGAACUUGUAGGUCAACUCCAUAUCAGACACACAAUAUGCAUGAAAAAGGAUACUACUAAGUCGUAGAAUAGAAAGGGAUAAUUAAAUGACCAAUUGAACAUGUCAUCAGUUCACACAAUUGACCAUAUCACUAUAUUAGAACACACAAUUUUUUUUGGAUGUUACUUGGGCAUCAUCAAGAUGAACACAUCCAAAUAAAACAGAUAUGACAAGUUCAGACAUACCUGGGCAUUGUAAGUAAAUUUUGGUUCCAGAAAAUACUACACCUAACGACCACCAAUGCUAGACCAUCAGGAGAUGAUGGAGAUUUACCAAUUUCCGCCAAUGGCUGCAUCGACUCUGCUGUUUCCCCAUUGCUUCAUAAAUAAAUAAAAUUGCAUAAAGCAUCCAAAUUUCAACAAUUAACCAAUGGGUGUACACUACUGGGGUUCGACAUCGAAAUUUUAGUACUAAAUCAUCUUCGGCGCUUGCACUAAUCAGAAAAAUAGGACAACUUGGGCGAUUGGACUAAUCAGAAAAAUAGGAGGUGCUUACUGAACAUACCUAACCAAAACCAAGGGUCCACGGCGAGUGGGCGACGAGCCGACGAGGGAGCGGCGUCUCAGCGUGCACUGCCGGCAUGGAUGAACCGUGUACGGAUAACGGGGUUCCAAGCGCGGAGAAGCCAGAGGAGCCUCGGGCGCCGGCCCGCGGGCUGCCGGUGUGGGCGGACUGGGACGGCGAGCCGUGGGCGUGCCGCGUGGUUGGAAGGGGAUGGGGCUUCCGAGGAGGAGGUCAGAAGUG